GACGAAGGGGGCAAGCGUUGUUCGGAAUUACUGGGCGUAAAGGGCGCGCAGGCGGCCCGGAAAGUCGGAUGUGAAAACUCGGGGCUCAGCCCCGAGCGUGCACCCGAUACUGCCGGGCUUGAGGCAGGUAGGGGAGAGUCGGAAUUCCUGGUGUAGCGGUGAAAUGCGCAGAUAUCAGGAGGAACACCGGUGGCGAAGGCGGAUCUCUGGGCCUGUCCUGACGCUGGAGGCGCGAAAGCUAGGGGAGCGAACAGG
rnacentral:rRNA from 1 species